CGAGUACAACGAGACGCGAGGCCGCGAGGUGGANCAAAUCUCNNNAACUCGUCCCAGUUGGGAUUNCAGGCUGAAACUCGCCUGCAUGAAGCCGGAGUUGCUAGUAAUCGCGAAUCAGAAUGUCGCGGUGAANACGUUCCCCGGGUCUUGUACACNCCGCCCGUCACACCAUGAGAGUUGGCAAUACCCGAAGUCCGUGAGGUAACGCGCAAGCGAGCCAGCGGCCGAAGGUAGGGUCAGCGAUUGGGGUGAAGUCGUAACAAGUAACC
rnacentral:rRNA from 1 species